CAACCUACGCAGGCUGACCGGCCCCCAAGCCAGGCUGGGCGAGUAUCUCUUCAAUCAGCUCACCCACAAACAUGACUAGGAGC
rnacentral:pre_miRNA from 1 species